rnacentral:rRNA from 1 species
AGCCCAGACUCCUACGGGAGGCAGCAGUGAGGAAUAUUGGUCAAUGGCCGAGAGGCUGAACCAGCCAAGUCGCGUGAGGGAAGACGGCCCUACGGGCUGUAAACCUCUUUUGUCGGGGAGCAGAGCGAACCACGUGUGGUUCAUUGAGAGUACCCGAAGAAAAAGCAUCGGCUAACUCCGUGCCAGCAGCCGCGGUAAUACGGAGGAUGCGAGCGUUAUCCGGAUUUAUUGGGUUUAAAGGGUGCGCAGGCGGAUUUUUAAGUCAGCGGUCAAAUCGAGGGGCUCAACCCCUUUAAGCCGUUGAAACUGGUGAUCUUGAGUGGGCGAGAAGUAUGCGGAAUGCGUGGUGUAGCGGUGAAAUGCAUAGAUAUCACGCAGAACUCCGAUUGCGAAGGCAGCAUACCGGCGCCCGACUGACGCUGAGGCACGAAAGCGUGGGGAUCGAACAGGAUUAGAUACCCCAGUAA